rnacentral:rRNA from 1 species
UACGGGGGGGGCAAGCGUUGUUCGGAAUUACUGGGCGUAAAGGCUCGUAGGCGGCCAACUAAGUCAGACGUGAAAUCCCUCGGCUUAACCGGGGAACUGCGUCUGAUACUGGAUGGCUCGAGUUUGGGAGAGGGAUGCGGAAUUCCAGGUGUAGCGGUGAAAUGCGUAGAUAUCUGGAGGAACACCGGUGGCGAAGGCGGCAUCCUGGACCAACACUGACGCUGAGGAGCGAAAGCCAGGGGAGCAAACGGG